AUAAUCUUAGAUUAAACCUUCGAAUUCGAUUUUUGAAAAUUAUUCAUGGUUUUGAGUGAAAAUAUCAUAUAACGUGAUGAAUGCUUCUUCAUCAAAUAGAACUAUCGACUUUUGUGAUCGUUACCUUUACUGUCCAUGACCUUCGUGACGGCAUCAUCUUCAUCGAUUGAGAAUCGGGGUCGCUGUAGUGCCCGAGGAGUCGAUUCAAAAUUCAGUUGCCUGAAGGCAGGACAGAGGCAUGAUCUAUUAUUGACUGGAAGAGUCUCAGAAAUGAAUAGCACGAUCGUACAAAAAAGCGCCACGAAUCAGUUGAAUCUUAGGACUAUAAUUUGAAGGUGUUGAAACUCCCACGAUUCCCUCGAUUCGAUUUUUGUUUGUGGGAAUGACCGCAUCCAAGUCCGCCGACUUUGGUCUCCGGAGAAAUGCUUGUUCAUGGCAAGCGAACACUUCCCAAACGCAGAACAUCUUGAAGUUCAUAGGAAUAUCACUGUAUGCAGCUGAACACCAAUGCAUUGACUGCCAGGCCUGGAUCACCGGUCGACAUAUUAUCAUUACCGAAAUCACCAACGAGAUCUUAUGUGGGUAAAUUGAAUGCGGCACGAAUGGAAUCAGGAUUCAGUGAGUGUACCUUAUCUAUGUCGAUUCGAGACGAAACGAUUCUGUUUUGGCCGGAAAAGUGGAAAAUAUCUGGAUUUGAGAAGGGUAGCAGAUUGUGAUGGCGAAUCGCUGAAUUCUUUUUCGCGUUACGUCUUUUACUAC